rnacentral:rRNA from 1 species
UCGAACGAGAAAGUGGAGCAAUCCAUGAGUACAGUGGCGACCGGGUGAGUAACACGUGACCAACCUGCCCUCGAGUGGGGGAUAACUCCGGGAAACCGGGGCUAAUACCGCAUAAGCCUGCGAAGGGAAAGCAGCAAUGCGCCGAGAGAGGAGUCCGCGGCCGAUUAGCUUGUUGGUAGGGUAAUGGCCUACCAAGGCAAUGAUCGGUAGCCGGCCUGAGUGGGCACACGGCCACACUGGCACUGAAACACGGGCCAGACUCCUACGGGAGGCAGCAGUGGGGAAUUUUGCGCAAUGGGCGAAAGCCUGACGCAGCGACGCCGCGUGGGGGAUGAAGCUUCUACGGAGUGUAAACCCCUUUCGACCGGGACGAAACGCCCGCAAGGGUUUGACGGUACCGGUAUAAGAAGCCCCGGCUAACUACGUGCCAGCAG